CCUACGGGAGGCAGCAGUGGGGGAUAUUGCACAAUGGGGGGAACCCUGAUGCAGCGACGCCGCGUGGGUGAAGGAGUGCUUCGGUAUGUAAAGCCCUAUCGGCAGGGAAGAAGCAAGACGGUACCUGACUAAGAAGCCCCGGCUAACUACGUGCCAGCAGCCGCGGUAAUACGUAGGGGGCGAGCGUUAUCCGGAUUCACUGGGUGUAAAGGGAGCGUAGACGGCCAAGCAAGCCAGGGGUGAAAGCCCGGGGCCCAACCCCGGGACUGCACUGGAAACUGUACGGCUGGAGUGCAGGAGAGGUAAGUGGAAUUCCUAGUGUAGCGGUGAAAUGCGUAGAUAUUAGGAGGAACACCAGUGGCGAAGGCGGCUUACUGGACUGUAACUGACGUUGAGGCUCGAAAGCGUGGGGAGCAAACAGGAUUAGAUACCCCGGUAGUC
rnacentral:rRNA from 1 species